UACGAAGGGGGCUAGCGUUGUUCGGAAUUACUGGGCGUAAAGCGCACGUAGGCGGACAUUUAAGUCAGGGGUGAAAUCCCAGAGCUCAACUCUGGAACUGCCUUUGAUACUGGGUGUCUUGAGUAUGGAAGAGGUGAGUGGAAUUCCGAGUGUAGAGGUGAAAUUCGUAGAUAUUCGGAGGAACACCAGUGGCGAGGGCGGCUCACUGGUCCAUUACUGACGCUGAGGUGCGAAAGCGUGGGGAGCAAACAGG
rnacentral:rRNA from 1 species